UACGUAGGGUGCAAGCGUUAAUCGGAAUUACUGGGCGUAAAGCGUGCGUAGGCGGGAAUGUAAGUCGGGCGUGAAAUCCCCAGGCUCAACCUGGGAACUGCACUCGAAACUGCGUUUCUUGAGUAUCGGAGAGGAAAGCGGAAUUCCUGGUGUAGAGGUGAAAUUCGUAGAUAUCGAGGAGGAACACCGGUGCGAAGGCGGGUCUCUGGGCCGUAACUGACGGCUGAGGAGCGAAAGCCAUGGGGGAGCGAACAGG
rnacentral:rRNA from 1 species